CCCUUAGAUGUUCUGGGCCGCACGCGCGCUACACUGAUGCAUUCAACGAGCCUAGCCUUGACCGAGAGGUCCGGGUAAUCUUUGAAACUGCAUCGUGAUGGGGCUAGAUUAUUGCAAUUAUUAAUCUUCAACAAGGAAUGCCUAGUAAGCGUGAUUCAUCAAAUCGCGUUGAUUACGUCCCUGCCCUUUGUACACACCGCCCGUCGCUCCUACCGAUUGAGUGUGUUGGUGAGGAGUUUGGAUUGGCCUCGGAAGGUGGUUCGCCACCGUCCGUAGCUGAGAAGUUCUCCAAACCGCCCCACUUAGAGGAAGGAGAAGUCGUAACA
rnacentral:rRNA from 1 species